rnacentral:lncRNA from 1 species
CGUCAAAACUUACAUAUCACACAAAGAUCAACAACUCGCUCCUUCAGCACAAACGACCAGUUGAAAUGAGGUAUACCCAUGUGUUGCUUAUGUCCUUGGUCUUACUCGUGCUAGCAUCAGGUAGUCAUUUGUCCAUGUAAUACAUCUGUGCUUAAUCUCUCUCGCCAACUAAUGGUCAUGUUGUGAUCGUUCUUUUUCUUCAUCGUGGAAUUUUGCAGAUGUGGUAGUGGAGGCAUCAAGAUAUUCUAGCAUUAAAGAAUUCGUGUGUGUGGAGAAAAUUUUCCCACCUCGAACAUGUGAUACCCAUGCUUGCGAAGAGUCAUGCUACAAACGUACAAGGCAAUACAAAUCUGGCAAGUGUGUUGUUGAGGGUUGCAAGUGCAAGUUAUGCAUAUAUCAGCCUCCGGCCAUCCAUAAUAAUGAACAAAUGGGUUCUAACUAGCUAAGAUAGGAUUGUUUUUUGAGCAAAUAAUGUGGGAGAAUCACAAAUGGUGUAGAGGCAACGUUUUUCACUCAUAUGAGCCAGAUGAAGAGUGAUGAAUUUAGCCUUGCUUCUUGAAUUAUCUUGAAUUAAUAAAUGGCUUAUAAAAUUUGAGAAGUGGUCUACAAAAUGUGGGUGCUUGACUUUGCAUGUGUAUUUAGUUGAACUAACUACUUU